AUUGAACGCUGGCGGAAUGCUUCACACAUGCAAGUCGAACGGCAGCACGGGGGCAACCCUGGUGGCGAGUGGCGAACGGGUGAGUAAUAUAUCGGAACGUGCCCAGUCGUGGGGGAUAACAUAGCGAAAGUUACGCUAAUACCGCAUACGAUCUACGGAUGAAAGCGGGGGAUCGCAAGACCUCGCGCGAUUGGAGCGGCCGAUAUCAGAUUAGGUAGUUGGUGAGGUAAAGGCUCACCAAGCCAACGAUCUGUAGCUGGUCUGAGAGGACGACCAGCCACACUGGGACUGAGACACGGCCCAGACUCCUACGGGAGGCAGCAGUGGGGAAUUUUGGACAAUGGGCGCAAGCCUGAUCCAGCCAUUCCGCGUGCAGGACGAAGGCCUUCGGGUUGUAAACUGCUUUUGUACGGAACGAAAAAGCCUUGGCUAAUACCCAGGGUCCAUGACGGUACCGUAAGAAUAAGCACCGGCUAACUACGUGCCAGCCGCCGCCGUAA
rnacentral:rRNA from 1 species